AUUGAACGCUGGCGGCAUGCUUUACACAUGCAAGUCGAACGGCAGCGCGGGCUUCGGCCUGGCGGCGAGUGGCGAACGGGUGAGUAAUGCAUUGGAACGUGCCCAGUAGUGGGGGAUAGCCCGGCGAAAGCCGGAUUAAUACCGCAUACGACCUGAGGGUGAAAGCGGGGGACCGAAAGGCCUCGCGCUAUUGGAGCGGCCGAUGUCGGAUUAGCUAGUUGGUGGGGUAAAGGCUUACCAAGGCGACGAUCCGUAGCUGGUCUGAGAGGACGACCAGCCACACUGGGACUGAGACACGGCCCAGACUCCUACGGGAGGCAGCAGUGGGGAAUUUUGGACAAUGGGGGCAACCCUGAUCCAGCCAUGCCGCGUGCGGGAAGAAGGCCUUCGGGUUGUAAACCGCUUUUGUCCGGGAAGAAAUCCUCUGGGCUAAUACCCCGGGGGGAUGACGGUACCGGAAGAAUAAGCACCGGCUAACUACGUG
rnacentral:rRNA from 1 species